UACUUUUGACAUUACUGCUGGAAAUUAAAAGAAGCUAAGGGCUCGUCUUUAUUUAACCCCCCCAAAAAAUUUGCAAGGUCUGCUUCAUCUGCUUCUCUCAAAAUUGCUAGCUGGAAAUCCAACAAUUUCAUCUGCUUCUCUCAAAAUUGCAAAGUCUGGGUCUCUUAAAUUGCAAGAUCUAGUUCUCCACUACGUCAUCCGGCUAAACUAUUAUCAGAUUUUGAUAUCAUCUACAUUAUCAGGUUCAUCGAUUGGUGGUGAAUAGAGAUCCCAAAUUCACCAACUUUGUUGAGUUCCGUACCCACAAGGUAAUAUACAGAAGAUAUGCAGGAAUAUUUUUCUCACUUUGUGUUGAUAUCACGGACAACGAGUUGUCCUAUUUGGAGUCCAUCCACUUGUUUGUGGAAAUUUUGGAUCACUUUUUCAGCAAUGUCUGUGAGCUGGAUUUGGUUUUCAAUUUCCACAAGCUCACUUUGUGAAGAGAAUAGCUAGUGUAAAACAUGAUGGUACUGUCGAAUUUGAUAUCCCGGAUGAUGUUGAAACCACCAGUGUGCUUGGAACUAGAUCUGAAAGUGUACAUUCUGCAGUUGAGGAUGAACCUCUUGAUGCAACAGAACUUUAAUAUUUUCCACCUAUGCAGAUUGUGAUGCUUAUUGUAGGAACAUGUGGUGAUGUGCAGCCCUUUACUGCAAUUGACAAGCGUCUGCAGGAUUUUGGCCAUCAGUGAGGUUGGCAACCCAUGCAAAUUUCAAAGAGUUUGUCUUGACUGCUGGAUUGGAAUUCUAUCCGCUUGGGGGUGAUCCAAAAAUUUUGGCUGAAUACAUGGUAAAAAAUAAAGGAUUCUUACCUUCCGGACCUUCAGAAAUCCCUACUCAGAGAAAUCAGAUGAAGGAGAUUAUAUACUCUUUACUUCCAGCCUGCAAAGAAGCUGAUAUGGAUACAGGAGUUCCCUUCAAAGCAGGUGCAAUUAUUGCUAAUCCCCCAGCAUAUGGUAAGAUUAGUUGGUUAUCUACAUCUUUGAUACUAUUUAAUUCAUUUACUUGUUUAUAUAUAUUGGCUUGUCUCUAGAGGCGAACCCAGAAUUGAAGUCUACGGGUGCACUACUAGAGGUCGAUGUGUGUUAGUACAGUGAUGUGGCGCCACGCCUUAAUGCUUUUGUCAGAAAAGUUAAAACUGCUAUAAAGCCAAAGGUAUCCAAAUAAAUAUUAAUUAUUGAUGUGGCGCCUCUUUCUUAGUGACUUUCUAAGGGCUAUCUUCACUCCUCAGGUAUAUGCAUUAAUAUCAUAAAUAGUUGUAAUUCUCACAGUUUUUGAUAAAUGAUUUUCCUUUUCAUGAUUGAAGGCCCAUUUCAGUUUCUCUGAAACUGGUCCUGUGUUUCACAUUCUGCUUCCAUGUUCUGUUGUAAUUCAGGUUACAAGGAUCUGGGUGAUGUUAUCAAUUUUGAAUGAGUGGGAUUCAUCAAUUGACAACUAGACUUUCAAUCAUGUUCGCUGUAGUAACAUGUACAAUAACUCCGCACUUACCUUGAAGAUCAGUUCUCCUCGAUUGGCUUCAGUCAAACUGAAUUGUGGGUUGCUCAAAAUAGCAGUUGGACUUGGCACUUUUCAGACAAAGAAAUUGUUGGUGUUUGAACUCAAAGGGCCUAGGUAGUCGGAUAAAGCCAACAAGACAUCUAUAUUUAUAGUAUUAGUUAAUAGAGAAUGUCAAUUUUCUUUUUUCCAUGAAGUAUUUGUGUAAACAAUGACAUGACUGAUGUGUGUAUAUAUAUGGUGUUUAUAUGUAUAUAUGAAAGCAAAUAAUGGUAAUUUUAGAGACCAA